GGAGGGUGCAAGCGUUAUCCGGAUUCACUGGGUUUAAAGGGUGCGUAGGUGGGUUGGUAAGUCAGUGGUGAAAUCUCCGAGCUUAACUUGGAAACUGCCAUUGAUACUAUCAGUCUUGAAUAUUGUGGAGGUCAGCGGAAUAUGUCAUGUAGCGGUGAAAUGCUUAGAUAUGACAUAGAACACCAAUUGCGAAGGCAGCUGGCUACACAUAUAUUGACACUGAGGCACGAAAGCGUGGGGAUCAAACAGGAUUAGAUACCCUGGUAGUCCACGCCCUAAACUAUGGAUACUCGACAUACGCGAUACACAGUGUGUGUCUGAGCGAAAGCAUUAAGUAUCCCACCUGGGAAGUACGAUCGCAAGAUUGAA
rnacentral:rRNA from 1 species